rnacentral:misc_RNA from 1 species
AAGUCGUAACAAGGUUUCCGUAGGUGAACCUGCGGAAGGAUCAUUAGAAUGAGUAGCCGGACCAUAGCAUCCGUGGGCGAAAGCAUUCCGUCAUCCGUGGCCAGUCAACGGCGCCCCGUAAACCUCCACCCUUGUGUAUUAUUCCUUCUGUUGCUUUGGCCAGGCCGCGGAUCCCUCUGGGGGAGCGCUUGGCUUGCGGCUUGGAGAAGUGCCUUGCCAUGAUGGAUCCAAACUCUGUAAUUUUAAUUGCCGAUCUAGUAGAUAACUGACGAAAAUAGUUUGAAAAU